UUAAAAUACUAUUUGAUUCAA
rnacentral:piRNA from 1 species